GCCUAGGGAUGUGCUCGCGUCUGAUUAGCUAGUUGGUGGGGUAAGGGCCUACCAAGGCGACGAUCAGUAGCUGGUCUGAGAGGAUGAUCAGCCACACUGGGACUGAGACACGGCCCAGACUCCUACGGGAGGCAGCAGUGGGGAAUUUUCCGCAAUGGGCGCAAGCCUGACGGAGCAACGCCGCGUGCGGGAGGACGGCUUGUGGACUGUAAACCGCUUUUAAUAGGGAAGAAUAUAUGACGGUACCUAUUGAAUAAGCAUGGGCUAACUCCGUGCCAGCAGCCGGGGUAAUACGGAGGAUGCAAGCGUUAUCCGGAAUUAUUGGGCGUAAAGGGUCCGCAGGGGGUUAAUAAAGUUUAUCGUAAAAUACUGGGGCUAAACUCGGGGGGGGCGGAUAAAACUGGUUAACUAGAUUACGGUAGGGGCAGAGGGAAUUCCUAGUGUACCGGUGAAAUGCUUAAAUAUUAAAAAAAACACCGGGGGCAAAGGCGCUUUGUUGGCCCUGUCCUGACCCUGAGGGACAAAAG
rnacentral:rRNA from 1 species